rnacentral:rRNA from 2 species
AACAGGGAUUGCCUUAGUAACGGCGAGUGAAGCGGCAAAAGCUCNAAUUUGAAAUCUAGCACUUUCAGUGUUCGAGUUGUAAUUUGAAGAAGGUAACUUUGGAGUUGGCUCUUGUCUAUGUUCCUUGGAACAGGACGUCACAGAGGGUGAGAAUCCCGUGCGAUGAGAUGUCCAACUCUAUGUAAAGUGCUUUCGAAGAGUCGAGUUGUUUGGGAAUGCAGCUCUAAGUGGGUGGUAAAUUCCAUCUAAAGCUAAAUAUUGGCGAGAGACCGAUAGCGAACAAGUACAGUGAUGGAAAGAUGAAAAGAACUUUGAAAAGAGAGUGAAAAAGUACGUGAAAUUGUUGAAAGGGAAGGGCUUGAGAUCAGACUUGGUAUUUUGCGUUCCCUUCCUUUUUGGUUGGGUUCCUCGCAGUUUACUGGGCCAGCAUCGGUUUGGAUGGUAGGAUAAUGACAUUGGAAUGUAGCUUUACUUCGGUGAAGUGUUAUAGACUUUGUUGAUACUGCCUAUCUAGACCGAGGACUGCGUCUUUGACUAGGAUGCUGGCGUAAUGAUCUUAAGC